rnacentral:rRNA from 1 species
AUUGAACGCUGGCGGCAGGCCUAACACAUGCAAGUCGAGCGGAUGAAGGGAGCUUGCUCCUGGAUUCAGCGGCGGACGGGUGAGUAAUGCCUAGGAAUCUGCCUGGUAGUGGGGGAUAACGUCCGGAAACGGGCGCCAAUACCGCAUACGUCCUGAGGGAGAAAGUGGGGGAUCUUCGGACCUCACGCUAUCAGAUGAGCCUAGGUCGGAUUAGCUAGUUGGUGGGGUAAAGGCCUACCAAGGCGACGAUCCGUAACUGGUCUGAGAGGAUGAUCAGUCACACUGGAACUGAGACACGGUCCAGACUCCUACGGGAGGCAGCAGUGGGGAAUAUUGGACAAGGGGCGAAAGCCUGGUCCAGCCAUGCCGCGUGUGUGAAGAAGGUCUUCGGAUUGUAAAGCACUUUAAGUUGGGAGGAAGGGCAGUAAGUUAAUACCUUGCUGUUUUGACGUUACCAACAGAAUAAGCACCGGCGAACUUCGU